UACGUAGGGUGCGAGCGUUAAUCGGAAUUACUGGGCGUAAAGCGUGCGCAGGCGGUUUUGUAAGUACCUUGUGAAAUCCCACGGCUCAACCGUGGAACUGCUUGGUAUACUGCUUAUCUUGGGUCAUCUAGGGGCGAGCGGAACAAACGGUGGAGCGGUGAAAUGCGUAGAUAUCGUUUGGAACGCCAAUGGUGAAAACAGCUCGCUGGGGAUGUACCGACGCUGAGACACGAAAGCCAGGGGAGCGAACGGG
rnacentral:rRNA from 1 species